UUGGAGGGCAAGUCUGGUGCCAGCAGCCGCGGUAAUUCCAGCUCCAAUAGCGUAUAUUAAAGUUGUUGCAGUUAAAAAGCUCGUAGUUGAAUUUCGGGGUCAGUAGAUUGGUCGUGCCACUGGUAUGUACUGGUCUCACUGGCUCCUCCUUCCUGAUGAACCGUAAUGCCAUUAAUUUGGUGUUGCGGGGAGACUGGACUGUUACUUUGAAAAAAUUAGAGUGUUUAAAGCAGGCUAACGCUUGCAUACAUUAGCAUGGAAUAAUGAAAUAGGACGUUCGAUCUUAUUUUGUUGGUUUCUAAGAUUGACGUAAUGAUUAAUAGGGAUAGUUGGGGGCAUUAGUAUUCAAUUGUCAGAGGUGAAAUUCUUGGAUUUAUUGAAGACUAACUACUGCGAAAGCAUUUGCCAAGGAUGUUUUCAUUAAUCAAGAACGAAAGUUAGGGGAUCGAAGACGAUCAGAUACCGUCGUAGUCUUAACCAUAAACUAUGCCGACUAGGGAUCGGAUGAUGUUAAUUUUUUAAUGACUCAUUCGGCGCCUUACGGGAAA
rnacentral:rRNA from 1 species